rnacentral:rRNA from 1 species
AAUUGGAGGGCAAGUCUGGUGCCAGCAGCCGCGGUAAUUCCAGCUCCAAUAGCGUAUAUUAAAGUUGCUGCAGUUAAAAAGCUCGUAGUUGAAUUUCGGGACCAAUAUGUCGGUCGUGCUUUUGUACGUACUGAUAUAAUUGGUUUCUCCCUUCUGAAGAACCUUGAUGUCAUUAAUUUGGUGUCUUGGGGAAUCAGGACUGUUACUUUGAAAAAAUUAGAGUGUUUAAAGCAGGCUCGCGCUUGAAUACAUUAGCAUGGAAUAAUGAAAUAGGACGUUUGAUUCUAUUUUGUUGGUUUCUAGGAUCGACGUAAUGAUUAAUAGGGAUAGUUGGGGGCAUUAGUAUUCAAUUGUCAGAGGUGAAAUUCUUGGAUUUAUUGAAGACUAACUACUGCGAAAGCAUUUGCCAAGGAUGUUUUCAUUAAUCAAGAACGAAAGUUAGGGGAUCGAAGACGAUCAGAUACCGUCGUAGUCUUAACCAUAAACUAUGCCGACUAGGGAUCGGAUGAUGUUAAUUUUUUAAUGACUCAUUCGGCGCCUUACGGGAAACCAAAGUGU